UUUUGCGUAAACGAUUUUUUUCAUUAUUUUAUAAAAAAUUCUGUUAUUUCACUUCAAACACGAAAUGGACGGGAAUUUACUCAUCUCUGUUAUGUCACCUACAUAUUUUGUGGGAUGGGAUGCUAAUUUAUCCCUAAUGCAUUUAUAUCCCUAAUGCAUUUAAAAAAAGUAGUGGACUUAACACAAGAUCAUAAUUUCUUGGCGCAUGACCCCGCGGAUUCUAGGAGUUUUUAUAAGUUAUGAAGUAUAUCUGAAAAUAUCGUGGCGAUUGCAUACAUACAAAC